CAUUUGAAGCCCAUGAGGAUGAGAACCUCCGGGGGCGGGGAGGUUCGACUCGAGCGAAGCGAGAGAACGUUGCGCCAGCAACGGCCCGCAGGGCGAGCCACGAAGUGGCGAGUAAUCCUCUAUCACCGACCA
rnacentral:sRNA from 2 species